ensembl:lncRNA
GGUGGCCAAAUAUCUGAUUGAGGAAAUGGAAAGCCAGCAAAAAAGUUUCAAUUUUAAGAUGACAUCGAAGCUAGCAGAUGCCAUCUCCACUGACCUUGGGAAGGUCAAGCGUUUAAAACGCUCCUUGAAAAUUGACGAUUUAUUUGAGGAUCAGGAGAUGCUUUCCAUUGUCUCUGUCAUUGUUUCCCACAAGCUACUGGCCAUCUUAAAACCCUCAGUUUCCAACCCAUAUGACCGUGAGACCUCAGACCUUGAAGACUCAUGCAGUGAUGAUGUGGAGGAUUUGGAAUCUGAGGGGGUGCAUUAUGCCGCCAACAGAAAGGUAAGACAAGCUCAGAUUACUCUUGAAUGGUCAUUGGUUGUGCUUUUUGAUAUCGGCACCAGUAAGUAUAGCUGUAUAAUUUAUAGGAAUAUGUAAAGGAAGUGAAAUUGAAGUUGAAUUGUGCAUCCUUGAAUUCUGAUCACAGUCCAACAUGAGCAUCGUCCUUACAGACACUACAAACCAGCCAGAGAUGUACAUUGCUUGUGGAUUCUCCACCUAUGCUUAAAUUAUCCAAGAUGAGGAAAGGCAUCCGGGACUUCUUCUGGAGAGUCCAGAAGGCCUGGAAACGCUUGGUCACCUGCAAGUCCUCUGGGUCCUCUGAUGGGUAGCCUGGAUGACGUGCAGCCCAUGUCAGUUGCUUUUGCCAGGCUACAUCUGAGGAGGACACCACAACUGGCCUCAAUACAACAUUUUUAUUUUUGUUGCUCAUUUCUGUUUUCAUUUUGAAUCCCCUAAUGCUGCUAUAUUUGAACCAGGCUGUCAGUGGACUAGCUUAACAUUAGUUUAUACUCCUUAUGGAAGAUCCACUAUAGGCUAGUCAACACCAAAAUUCCAUCUGGGUCUUUUGAUCCCUUAUUAGCUCCCACUCCUGUAACUAGGAAUGUGAGCUUCUAAAUGUCAUUCAGACAUCUACAGCUUCUCCUGUGAUUAGGAAGAUAAGCUAAGAAGCCCAACCAAUUGACUAGAUGUUGAUCCACGUCCAUUGCAGCCUCUAAAUUUGAUGUAGAUAUUUAGACUAAAUUAAAAAAUGACAAGAAGGGAAGGCCAACAGCAGCUUCUACUCUUACAAUUAGGAAAGUGGUGCUAAACUUUUUG